CCCACUUCGUGGUGGACGGCAGCUCCUGUGUGAGUGGUUGUCCUCCAGACAAGAAGGAGGUGGAGAGGAGUGGUCAGAGGCAGUGUGAGCUCUGUGGAGGGCUGUGCCCUAAAGCCUGUGAGGGCACAGGGCCUGAGCACAGACAGACGGUGGACUCCAGUAACAUUGACAGCUUCAUCAACUGCACCAAGAUACAGGGCAGUCUGCACUUCCUGGUCACAGGGAUCCUUGGUGAUGACUAUAAGAAUAUCCCACCUCUGGACCCUAAGAAGCUGGAAGUCUUCCGCUCUGUGCAGGAGAUAACAGAUAUCCUAGCCAUCCAGUCGUGGCCUAAAGAGCUAUCAGAUCUGUCAGUGUUCUCCAGUCUCACCACCAUACAGGGAAGAUCUCUUCACAAGUAAGGUUGUGCGUGUGUGUGUGUGUGUGUGUGUGUGUGUGUGUGUGUGUGUGUGUGUGUGUGUGUGUGUGUGUGUGUGUGUGUGUGUGUGUGUGUGUGUGUGUGUGUGUGUGAAAGAAAGAAAGUCCAUAUUUCUAUAUAACUCAUAUGUCAUUCUGUUUUGUGACAUGUCAUUUAAUCCACCCAGUCUGUCCUCUGUUUGCUUUAAUAAUACCAGAGGCUGCUUUUUCGUCAACAGCUCAUGUCAUGCAUGUCACUAGAGUAUGUAAUCUCUCUAUCUCUCUUUAUGUGCCUCACCUUCCUGUCCACUAUGCUCCUGAUGUCCCUCUCCAGCGCAAAGAGGUAUGGCCUGAGCUGUGUGUGACUCCGUAACUUUGUGCUAAACCAAAGCAUGGCCUAACACAGAUAGUUGUUACUCUGGUGUUGCAGUAUCUUAAUGAAACUACCUAUUGCAGUUUUAGCUUC